GCAUAUCGUUACAGAGUUCUAGUAGAAAUGAAAUUGGACAAGUGAGCAAAAGAAUUGAUCAACCUUGUGAAGGGUCCAUCGCCAGCUAAAAGAUUAACGACCCAUGCAACAGAGUACACAGACACAUCUUCACACAUAUAUAUUCAUAUUAGGUUUUCUUUUUACGCUUCAACCCUAACCUACAACGUCUUCCUUCUCACUGCUUCUUCAAGGACAUGACGACUGACGAUGGCAGUGUCCUUCAAAAUUGAAGCUUUUAACCUUCCACCGUUGAUGAUGGCGCCAUCGUAGAGUAUGCUUCCCUUCUAGCCGUCCCUUUUCACUUUCAAUCCCAUUUACAUACAAAUAUUCUCCUCGAUCUAGUGUUGUGAGACAACUAACUUGCACACAUUCGACCCUCAGUCGUCCUUGACUUGUUGCUGCGCUCCUUGUCGGCCGGCGCUGACAGUUGUUACUCCUCAGCAGUUCUCUUUCAAGAGGAAAUUACCUUUAUUGUUGAGAAUACACUUUGCUUGUGAAUAUGUGAGAUCAAAAUCUGAAACUGCAGUGGUGAGAGGCUUAAGGUUUAGUUAACUGAAAAUGGAAGAAGUUACUCCAACUCCAAGUACCUUACUUGAAACUUGUAAUCAAAACCCUCCUAUGAAUGCAAAUCUGUCAACUUUUCCUUCUACAAUGGACUGUACUGUACCUACAAUAAAUGAAGGUGGAGGGGAAGGUGAAGAAAAUGAAAUUGAGGGACAGGGUACUAAGACUAGGAAGUCUAUUGUAUGGGAUCAUUUCACUAAGCUUCCUUUGGUUGAGACUAAAGGUGAACAUAAGGCCAAAUGCAAUCAUUGUUGUGCAAUAGAUAGUUGUCACCCAAACAAACAUGGAACCAAUUCUUUGAACAAACAUUUGCGUAGGUCUCACCAAUGGAUAUUAGUAAAGUUGGUAAUAAGGGGACACUUCAUGGGUAUAUGCCAAAAACUUCAGAAGAUGGUCUAGGUGGAACAAAUUCUGUUGGGUAUAACUUGGAGGAUUGUAGAAGGGUUUUGGCUGAGUUUGUGAUAUGUGAUGAGAUGUCAUUUAAGGUUGUAGAAGGGCGUGGUUUUCGCAAAAUGAUAAAUCGAUUAGAGCCUAGGUUUACUGUACCAUCUAGGGUCACAGUUGCAAGGGAUUGUUACCAACACUUUUUAGAUGAGAAGAAAAAGUUGAAGUCUUGGUUUAUUAAUUCAAGAAUUCGUGUUUGUAUGACAACUGAUUGUUGGACUUCAUGCCAGAAUUUUAUCUUAUAUGUGUUUAACUGCUCAUUUUAUUGAUGAAGAAUGGAGGCUACAAAAAAGAAUUCUAAACUUUGGUUUAGUUGCAAACCACAAAGGUGAUACCAUUGGAAGAGAGAUUGAGAAAUGUUUACGAGAGUGGGGAAUUGAAAAUGUGUUUUCAAUCAUAGUUGAUAAUGCAAGCUCUAAUGAUGGGGUGAUCACAUACCUUAAAAAAAACUAGAUGCUAGAGGUGGGCUAGUGUGUGGUGGUCAAUAUAUGCAUAUGAGGUGUUGUGCUCAUAUUCUUAAUUUGGUUGUGAAUGAAGGAAUGAAAGAGAAACAAUUAUCCAUUGACAACAUUAGGAAUGCAGUGCGGUAUGUUAGGUCUUCACCCUCAAGAUUUAAAGAAUGCAUUGAGGCUGAAAUGAUUAAGUCUGAAAGUCUUGUGUGCCUAGAUGUUUCAACUAGGUGGAAUUCCACUUACACUAUGAUGGAACAUGUUGUAAAGUUUGAAAAAGCUUUUGAUAGACUCUUGGAUCAAGAGUUAGAUUUUGUUAAAUGGUUUCGUGAUGAAAAGGGGAAAAAGGUUGGUCCACCUGCUGAUUUGGAUUAGCAUCAUGGUAGAAUAUUUGUUCAGUUUCUAAAAAUGUUUUAUGAAGCAAAUUUGUCUUUCCCUAGUUCAUUGUGUGUGACAUCAAACAAAUGCUUCCAUGGAAUAGCUGCAAUUCAAGCUGAGUUGACAGAAUGGAGUACUAAUCAUUCUGAACUCUUAGGGGUUAUGGCACAUUCAAUGAGAGAAAAAUUUAAUAAAUAUUGGGGAAGUGUUGAAAAUAUCAAUCCUUUGUUGUUUGUUGCUGUUGUUUUGGAUCCUCGAUGCAAACUUGAAUAUGUCACUUGGAGUUUAAAAGAAACAUAUGCUGAGGACCUAGCAACUAAGAUGAUAACUUUGGUUAAUGACACCUUAGAUGACUUGCACAAGUUUUAUUCAAAAGGAAUUUCUGAACAUGUGGAGUGUGAAGAUGGCAGGGAUUCUUCGAGGGGUACAACUUUGAAUGACAUGCCCAAAGGGUUAAUUGGAGGUUCUUUUGGGAACAGGGUGGGGGCUUGGAAAAAAUAGAAAAGGGCAAAACCAAAUUUAAAUAAAUCAGAUCUUGAGAGAUAUCUCAAUGAGGAUGCUAUAGAUGAUGAAAAUGUUGAUUUUAACAUAUUGGGUUGGUGGAAAGUGAAUUCAUCAAAAUACCCGGUCCUUUCUAUCAUGGCCUGUGAUGUAUUGGUUGUUCAGAUUUCUUCCGUGGCAUCCGAAUCAUGCUUUAGCAUAAGUGGGCAUAUUCUUGAUCUCUUAUGUAGCUCUUCGUCUCCCAGAAUGGUUGAAGCUCUUGUUUGUGCUCAGAAUUGGUUAAACUCCGGUGGUCUUGCUUUCGAGGAUAAGGAUUUUGAUCAAUUUGAUAACAUUGAGAAGAUUGUUGAUGAUUCUUGAGUCUCAAGGAGGAAGUGACAUGCAACAAGCUGUGAAUAUUGAUUGAUAGCCAACCAAAUCUGGAUUGAUUGCUUUUUUUUAAAGAAACUUGAAUAGUUAUCUCUUUUUUGUGCAGGAAUUAUAAAAGGCAUGUUGCAGUUUUGUUUUGUAUAUGGCUGCAUAUCUUUUAUAACACUUAGAUAUGUGAGAAUUAGUUAGGGGAAUUUGAUAUGUUGCAGUUAUGUUUUGUAUAUGGCUGCAAAUUAGGAAAUCGCCUACAAUUGCACUUUUGUUAAUUUGAUGUUGUAGGCCGGUAGCUUCCAGUGGAAAUGCUUAUGUUUUGGUAUAUGUGUGUGAGUUUGAAUGUGCUCAAUGUAAUGUUACAUUUCUAUUCUGAAUAUUACAUUUGACAGUAAUGAAGUAUUUACUUUGUAAUUGUUAA